ACGCAUAGAUGUUUUGGCAUUUCCAGACAGUUAUCUUUUUGAACGGUACCGUUUCACCUCACAAUCCAUAACCUACAUCCACAACCUAAUCCGUCCUUACAUUUACAACUUUACCAACCGCAGUCAUGCUCUCACAUCCCAGCAGAUGUUGUGUGUUGCGCUGCAGUUCUUUGCAAAUGGGAGUUUUUUAUACAACGUCGGAGAUGCAGAGCACCUCAGUAAGACAACUGUAUGCAGGACGGUCAGAAAUGUGUGUCUGGCCCUGAAACGACUUUUACCAUCUUUGUGAUUUUCCCUGGACAUAAACCUGUCAGAGCCAUCAAGGAGGAGUUUCACAGGAUUGCAGGUGAAUGAUGUAGAGAUCUGUUAAAUUAAUUUUAAAUCAUAUCCAGUUAAUGACAUUGUGUUGCAACCUCAGACUGUGAUUAGUAAAUUUAAUUUCUUUUAGGUUUUCCCAGUGUGAUUGGCUGCAUUGAUGGAACACACAUCCCCAUCACAGCUCCCUCACAUAAUGAAGCUGAUCAUGUGAACAGGAAGUCCAUUCACAGCAUAAAUGUGCAGAUCAUAUGUGAUGCUGCAUACAUCAUUUCUAAUGUGGAGGCCAAGUGGUCUGGAUCUGUUCAUGACUGGAGGAUUUAUCAUGAGUCUAACCUGAGCAACAGACUGCAACGUGGAGAGUUUGAUGGCCUUCUGCUGGGUGACAGGGGUUACCAUGCCAACCCAGGCUGAUGACCUCAUACCCUGACCCUGAACCAGGCCCCCAACAGAACUUCAACCAGGUUCACUGCAGGAUGAGAGCCUGGGUGGAGAUGACCAUAGACCUGCUGAAAGCCUGUUUCCAGUGUCUACAUCACCUCAGGGUGACUCAUGAGAGGCCUGUGAUAUUAUUGUGGCAUGUGUUGUUCUUCAUAAUAUUACCACUAUUAGAGGAGAGCAACACUCUGCCCUACAAACUGAAGACCCAGAUGAUGACCUCAUCCACCUGCCAGCUAUCCAGGACAGCAGAGCAGUCAGAGACACCAUAUGCAAUAAUCACUGCAGAGUUUAAGUCUCCAUCAUCACCACCACAGCAGUCAAAUAAACACAUGAUACACAUUUCA